GAGAGUUUGAUCCUGGCUCAGAUUGAACGCUGGCGGCAGGCCUAACACAUGCAAGUCGAGCGGUAGCACAGAGAGCUUGCUCUCGGGUGACGAGCGGCGGACGGGUGAGUAAUGUCUGGGAAACUGCCUGAUGGAGGGGGAUAACUACUGGAAACGGUAGCUAAUACCGCAUAACGUCGCAAGACCAAAGUGGGGGACCUUCGGGCCUCAUGCCAUCAGAUGUGCCCAGAUGGGAUUAGCUAGUAGGUGGGGUAAUGGCUCACCUAGGCGACGAUCCCUAGCUGGUCUGAGAGGAUGACCAGCCACACUGGAACUGAGACACGGUCCAGACUCCUACGGGAGGCAGCAGUGGGGAAUAUUGCACAAUGGGCGGAAGCCUGAUGCAGCCAUGCCGCGUGUAUGAAGAAGGCCUUCGGGUUGUAAAGUACUUUCAGCGAGGAGGAAGGCGUUAAGGUUAAUAACCUUAGCGAUUGACGUUACUCGCAGAAGAAGCACCGGCUAACUCCGUGCCAGCAGCCGCGGUAAUACGGAGGGUGCAAGCGUUAAUCGGAAUUACUGGGCGUAAAGCGCACGCAGGCGGUCUGUCAAGUCGGAUGUGAAAUCCCCGGGCUCAACCUGGGAACUGCAUUCGAAACUGGCAGGCUAGAGUCUUGUAGAGGGGGGUAGAAUUCCAGGUGUAGCGGUGAAAUGCGUAGAGAUCUGGAGGAAUACCGGUGGCGAAGGCGGCCCCCUGGACAAAGACUGACGCUCAGGUGCGAAAGCGUGGGGAGCAAACAGGAUUAGAUACCCUGGUAGUCCACGCCGUAAACGAUGUCGACUUGGAGGUUGUGCCCUUGAGGCGUGGCUUCCGGAGCUAACGCGUUAAGUCGACCGCCUGGGGAGUACGGCCGCAAGGUUAAAACUCAAAUGAAUUGACGGGGGCCCGCACAAGCGGUGGAGCAUGUGGUUUAAUUCGAUGCAACGCGAAGAACCUUACCUGGUCUUGACAUCCACAGAACUUUCCAGAGAUGGAUUGGUGCCUUCGGGAACUGUGAGACAGGUGCUGCAUGGCUGUCGUCAGCUCGUGUUGUGAAAUGUUGGGUUAAGUCCCGCAACGAGCGCAACCCUUAUCCUUUGUUGCCAGCGGUCCGGCCGGGAACUCAAAGGAGACUGCCAGUGAUAAACUGGAGGAAGGUGGGGAUGACGUCAAGUCAUCAUGGCCCUUACGACCAGGGCUACACACGUGCUACAAUGGCAUAUACAAAGAGAAGCGACCUCGCGAGAGCAAGCGGACCUCAUAAAGUAUGUCGUAGUCCGGAUUGGAGUCUGCAACUCGACUCCAUGAAGUCGGAAUCGCUAGUAAUCGUAGAUCAGAAUGCUACGGUGAAUACGUUCCCGGGCCUUGUACACACCGCCCGUCACACCAUGGGAGUGGGUUGCAAAAGAAGUAGGUAGCUUAACCUUCGGGAGGGCGCUUACCACUUUGUGAUUCAUGACUGGGGUGAAGUCGUAACAAGGUAACCG
rnacentral:rRNA from 1 species